rnacentral:rRNA from 1 species
AACGAACGCUGGCGGCAGGCCUAACACAUGCAAGUCGAACGAAGUCUUCGGACUUAGUGGCGGACGGGUGAGUAACACGUGGGAACGUACCUUUUGGUUCGGAACAACUCAGGGAAACUUGAGCUAAUACCGGAUGAGCCCUUCGGGGGAAAGAUUUAUCGCCAUUAGAGCGGCCCGCGUUAGAUUAGCUAGUUGGUGAGGUAAAGGCUCACCAAGGCUACGAUCUAUAGCUGGUCUGAGAGGAUGAUCAGCCACACUGGGACUGAGACACGGCCCAGACUCCUACGGGAGGCAGCAGUGGGGAAUCUUGCGCAAUGGGCGAAAGCCUGACGCAGCCAUGCCGCGUGAAUGAUGAAGGUCUUAGGAUUGUAAAAUUCUUUUACCAGGGACGAUAAUGACGGUACCUGGAGAAAAAGCCCCGGCUAACUUCGUGCCAGCCGCCGCGGUAACAC